rnacentral:rRNA from 1 species
GAAACGACUCUCGGCAACGGAUAUCUCGGCUCUCGCAUCGAUGAAGAACGUAGCGAAAUGCGAUACUUGGUGUGAAUUGCAGAAUCCCGUGAACCAUCGAGUUUUUGAACGCAAGUUGCGCCCAAAGCCAUUAGGCCAAGGGCACGUUUGCCUGGGCGUCACGCAUCACGUCGCCCC